UGGAAAUACUCAGGAGAAGGUUUCCCCACCACUUCAGCCUCGAUUCCACAGGCGUACUGGGAAAAGAGAAAAGGACACAGCACGGGUUGAGGACAAAGCCACAGGCCCAGGUUAUUCCUGAAACCGAAGAGAUCUGAUACACCAUCUUUUGUUCCUGGCAUCAAGAAAGCAGCAGCAGAAGCUGAGUGCUCCGGCCACAAAGAAGAACCUGGGGGUGCUGGAGAGACGGGAAAGAGCUUGCCAGAAGUGACCUAUGUGCUCCAUGAGGUCAGCAGUGACAUUUGGUCCAUUCUCGGCAUCCCUGCUUCACACCGGGCUGGUACAUGGCAGGCUCCCAUUUGCUGAAUGACCGAGUGACAGAAAAUCCAAAUGACAGCCGGUGAGAGGGACCCUUCCUUAGAACCACACCGACCACACCUACUGCCACCCCCAAGGGUGCCCCUGUAGCCCUCUUCCAAGCCCCGUUGGACACAGGCAGGUGCUCCUUCACUGUGAUGACCCUCCAAGCCCUGGAGCUGACAAGUGCCACCUGAAAAGAAGUCUGUAGACUGACCAACAACAGAGUGAACACACACCUUGAGGCUAAC